rnacentral:rRNA from 1 species
GAUGAACGCUGGCGGCGUGCUUAACACAUGCAAGUCGAGCGAGUGAGUUCUUCGGAACGAUCUAGCGGCGGACGGGUGAGUAACACGUGGGCAACCUGCCUCAUAGAGGGGAAUAGCCUCCCGAAAGGGAGAUUAAUACCGCAUAAAAUUAUCGAGUGGCAUCACAUGAUAAUCAAAGGAGUAAUCCGCUAUGAGAUGGGCCCGCGGCGCAUUAGCUAGUUGGUGAGGUAACGGCUCACCAAGGCGACGAUGCGUAGCCGACCUGAGAGGGUGAUCGGCCACAUUGGGACUGAGACACGGCCCAGACUCCUACGGGAGGCAGCAGUGGGGAAUAUUGCACAAUGGGGGAAACCCUGAUGCAGCAACGCCGCGUGAGUGAUGAAGGUCUUCGGAUUGUAAAGCUCUGUCUUUGGGGACGAUAAUGACGGUACCCAAGGAGGAAGCCACGGCUAACUACGUGCCAGCCGCCGCCGUAA